rnacentral:tRNA from 1 species
GGGGCCGUGGUGCAGUUUGGUUAGCACGCUGGCCUGUCAAGCCAGAGGUCGCGGGUUCAAGUCCCGUCGGCCCCGCCA